rnacentral:lncRNA from 1 species
GGUUUUUCUAUCAGGUUACUGCUGGCAGAACAGAGAAAGAGAGAGAGCAGGAGAGAGAGAGACAGACAGAAUCCACUAGUAGAAUAAGCCAUGAUCACCACUCAAAACUUGUGCUACUACUUGAUCAGUACCUGGAAUUCUGAGGAAAACCCUAUUAGAGAUUGCAAAUCCAGUAAAUAAAGGCAGCAGUGGUACCUUGUUAAAAACAUCAAAUCCAAAGUGCUCUGAGGAGGAAUAUGUACGGUGUGUUCUAGGGACAGAAAAUAAGACAAACGUGGCUGGAGUAUUGGAAGGGGAAGUUUAAUUUUUGCAUCUGGCAAGAGUUUCUGCAAAUUCCCUGUGGUAAAGAUGGCAGGCUGCCCU